UACGUAGGGGGCAAGCGUUAUCCGGAUUUACUGGGUGUAAAGGGAGCGUAGACGGCGGUGCAAGCCAGAUGUGAAAGCCCGGGGCUCAACCCCGGGACUGCAUUUGGAACUGUGCUGCUAGAGUGUCGGAGAGGCAGGCGGAAUUCCUAGUGUAGCGGUGAAAUGCGUAGAGAUUAGGAAGAACACCAGUGGCGAAGGCGACUUACUGGACUGUAACUGACGCUGAGGCAUGAGAGCAUGGGGAGCAAACAGG
rnacentral:rRNA from 1 species